rnacentral:rRNA from 1 species
CGGACGGGUGAGUAAUGUCUGGGAAACUGCCUGAUGGAGGGGGAUAACUACUGGAAACGGUAGCUAAUACCGCAUAACGUCGCAAGACCAAAGAGGGGGACCUUAGGGCCUCUUGCCAUCGGAUGUGCCCAGAUGGGAUUAGCUUGUUGGUGGGGUAACGGCUCACCAAGGCGACGAUCCCUAGCUGGUCUGAGAGGAUGACCAGCCGCACUGGAACUGAGACACGGUCCAG